rnacentral:rRNA from 1 species
UACAGAGGUCUCAACCGUUGUUCGGAUUCAUUGGGCGUAAAGGGUGCGUAGGCGGCGGGGUAAGUCAGGUGUGAAAUCUCGGGGCUCAACCCCGAAACUGCACUUGAUACUGCCUCGCUUGAGUACUGGAGAGGAGACUGGAAUUUACGGUGUAGCAGUGAAAUGCGUAGAUAUCGUAAGGAAGACCAGUGGCGAAGGCGAGUCUCUGGACAGUUACUGACGCUGAGGCACGAAAGGCCCAGGGGGAGGCAAAACGGGG